rnacentral:rRNA from 1 species
CCUACGGGGGGCAGCAGUGAGGAAUAUUGGUCAAUGGCCGGGAGGCUGAACCAGCCAAGUCGCGUGAGGGAAGACGGCCCUACGGGUUGUAAACCUCUUUUGUCAGGGAGCAAGGUGCAGGUCGGGACCUGCUGUGAGAGUACCUGAGUAAGAAGCCCCGGCGAACUACGUGCCAGCAGCCGCGGUAAUACGUAGGGGGCAAGCGUUAUCCGGAAUUACUGGGUGUAAAGGGAGCGUAGACGGUGAUGUAAGUCUGGAGUGAAAGGCGGGGGCCCAACCCCCGGACUGCUCUGGAAACUAUGUGACUGGAGUGCAGGAGAGGUGAGCGGAAGUCCUAGUGUAGCGGUGAAAUGCGUAGAUAUUAGGAGGAACACCAGUGGCGAAGGCGGCUCACUGGACUGUAACUGACGUUGAGGCUCGAAAGCGUGGGGAGCAAACAGGAUUAGAUACCCCUGUAGUC